ACCAGUGUAGCAUAGUGGUUAAGGAGCCGGGCUUGUAACCGAAAGGUUGCGGGUUCGAUUCCCCACUGGGG
rnacentral:tRNA from 1 species